rnacentral:rRNA from 1 species
GACGAACCGUGCGAACGUUGUUCGGAAUCACUGGGCUUAAAGGGCGCGUAGGCGGGCUGCCAAGUCCGGGGUGAAAUCCUCCGGCUCAACCGGAGAACGGCCCCGGAUACUGGCGGCCUCGAGGGGGGUAGGGGCAUGCGGAACUCUGGGUGGAGCGGUGAAAUGCGUAGAUAUCAGGAGGAACACCGGUGGUGUAGACGGCUUUCUGGACCGUAACUGACGCUGAGACACGAAAGCGUGGGUAGCAAACAGG